GGCUAGGGGUCUAAUCGGAGCUAUAGCCACCAGCCUACACCAGAGCCACAGCAGUGUCAGAUCUGAGCCGCGUCUGUGGCCUAUGCCGCAGCUCACAGAAAUGCUGUAUAUGUAACCCACUGAGCGAGGCCAGGGAUUGAACCUGCAACUUCAUGGUUCCUAGUCGGAUUCAUUUCCACUGAGCCAUGACAGGAACUCCAAGUAUAGGUUAUUAUUAAUUAUAGUUACCACAUUGUACAUUAGAUUUCUAGAACUUAGGCAUCAUGCAAUAUUUGUCUUUCGUAUUUAGCUUAUUUCACUUAACACGUUGUCCACCUUCAUUGCCAUUAUCACAAAUAGCAGGAUUUCCUUCUCAUGGCUGAAUAAUAGUCACUGCAUGUCUAUACCAUACUUUUAAAAUCUGUUUCUUUGUCAGUGAACAUAGAUUUUUUUUCCUCAUAUCUUAGAUAAUUGUGAAUAAUGCUACAAUGAAAAUGGGCGUACAGGUAUCUCUUCAAGAUAGUGAUUUUACUUCCUUUGGAUAUUUACUCAGGAGUGGGAUUGCUGGAUUACAUGGUAAUUUUUUAGUUUUUUGAGAAAUGUCUAUAUUGUUCUCCAUAGUGGGUGUACUAGUUUACUUUCCCACCAACAUUGUACAAGGAUUUCCUUUUCUCCACAUCAUCUCUUUUUGAUAAUCUUCAUCCUAGGAGUGAGCUUUAUUGAGCUGUAAUUGACAUAUAACUUUGUAUAAGUUAAAGUGUACAGUAUGAUGAUUUGAUAUACAUAUGUAUUACAGAAUUACCAAAAUAAAGUUACUUAACAUAUCUUUCACCUCACAUGAUUACUGUUUUGUUGUUAUUGUGAGAAUUUUAAAAUCUAUGCAACUUUGGAGCAUAAAUACAGUAUUAUUAAUGUAGUCACAGUGUCGUACGUUAGAUCCUGAUACUUAGGUCUCUGUCACUGAAAGUUUGUACCUUUGUCCAGUACGUCCUCAUUCUCCCACUCUUGCAACCCUUGGUAACUACCUUUCUAUCCUCUGCUUCUACAAAUUCAGUUUUAUUUUUGUUGGUGUUCUUGUUUUUGGUUUUUAGGGCUGUAUUUGUGGCACAUGGAAGAUCCCAGGCUAGGAGUUGAAUUGGAGCUACAGCUAGGGCCUUUGCCACAGCCACAGCAGUGUCAGGUCACAGCGUCUGCGACCUACCCCACAGCUCACAGCAACGCUGGAUCCUUAACCCACUGAGGAUUGAACCUGCAUCCUCAUGGAUACCAGUUGGGUUUGUAACCUGCUGAGCCACAACAGGAACUCCCCAACUUUUUUAUUUUUUAUUUGUACAUUUUUAAAUUUUAUGGCCACAGUCAGGGCAUAUGGAAUUUCCCAGGCUAGGGACUGAAUCUGUAGCUGUAGCAGUGCCAGAUACUUCUAACCCACUGCCAGGCUGGGGAUCACACCCAAGCUGCUGCAGUCAGAUUCUUAACCCAGUUCACCAAAACAGGAACUCUGAGUACACCUUUUCUAGAUUCUGCAUAUAAGCGAGAUUAUACAGUAUGUGUUUUUGUCUGACUUCUGUCACUUAGCAUAAUGCCCUCAAGGUCCAUCCAUGUUGUGGCAAAUGGCAGUAUUUCCUUUUUUUGAUGGUGGUGGUGGGGUUAUGCUUGCAGCAUGCAGAAGUUCUGGGGCCAGGGAUUGAACCCCAUGGCAGUGACAAUGUGACAGUGCCAGAUCUUCAACGUGCUGAACCAUUAUUUCCUUUUUUUUUUUUAGGGCUGCAUCCACGGCCUAUGGAGUUCCUAGGCCAGGGGUUGAAUUGGAGCUAUAGCUGCCAGCCUACGCCACAGCCACAGCAACAUGGGACCUACACCACAGCUCAUGGCAAUGCUGGAUCCCUGACCCACUGAACAAGGCCAGGGGUUGAACCUACAUCCUCAUGGAUACUGGUCGGAUUUGUUUCUGCUGCGCCACAACGGGAACUCCUGGAUUUCCUUCUUUUUAGUGACUGAAUGAUAUUUGUGUGUGUGUGUGUGUGUGUGUGUGUGUGUGUGUGUGUGUUUUCUUCAUCCAUCAGUAGACACGGGUUGUUUCCAUGUCUUGGCUAUUGUGAAUGAUGCUGCAGGGUAUAUGUGUGCAGAUACCUUUUCGAGAUACUGAUUUUAUCAUUUUUGGAUAUAUACCCAAAAUGAGAGUUCUGGAUCAUAUGAUAGUUCUUUCUUUAAAAUUUUUUGAGGGAUAUUUAUACUGCUUCCAUAGUAGCUGCACCAAUUUACAUUUCCACCAGCAGUGCACAAGAGUUCCCCUUUCUCCACAUUCUUAUCAGCAUUUGUUAUUGCUUGGUUUUAGGGUUUGUUUGUUUUUGUUUUUUUGUUGUUUUUUUGUGUGUGUCUUUUCUAGGGCCGCACCCACGGCCUGUGGAGGUUCCCAGGCUAGGGGUCUCAUUAGAGCUGUAGUCGCCAGCCUACGCCAGAGCCAUAGCAACACUGGAUCCGAGCUGUGUCUGCGAACUACCCCACAGCUCAUGGCAAUGCCAGAUCGUUAACCCUCUGAGCAAGGGCAGGGAUCGAACCUGCAACCUCAUGGCUCCUAGUCGGAUUUGUUAACCAUAAUGGGAACUUCUAGGGUUUGUUUGUUUCGUUGGUUUUUUCUUUUUGUCUUUUUAGGACCUUACUCACAGCACAUGUUAGUUUCCAGGCUAGGGGUUGAAAUCAGAGCUGUAGCCACCAGCCUACGUCCCAGCAAUGCUGGACCUGAGCCGUGUCUGUGACCUACACUACAGCUCAUGGCAGUGCCAGAUCCUUAACCCAUUGAGCAAGGCCAGGGAUCAAACCCGGGUUCUCAUGGAUACUAGUCAUGUUUGUUACCACUGAACCAUGACUGGAGCUCCUUUUUGGGGUUUUUCGAUAGUAGCCAUACUAAUAGGUGUGAGGUUUUAACUUUCAUUUUCCUGAUGAUGAGUGAUGUUGAGCAUCUUUUUGUGUAUUCUUUGGCCAUUUGUAUCUCUUCUUUGGAAAAAUUUUCUCUCUCCUUUUUUUAAAUCAAGUUGUAAGCUUUUUGCUAUUGAAUUAAAGGAGUUCUGUAUAUAUUUUGACUCUUAACCCCUUAUCAGAUAGAUGGUUGCAGAUAUCUUCUCCCAUCCUGUAGGUUGCCUUUUCAUUUUGUUGAUUAUUUUUUGGGACUCCUUUAAUUUAGCCCUUAUUUUUUUUGAAGGACAGUUUUGCUGGCUAUAAAAUUUUCAUUUGAUAGCCCCGCCCCCCCACCCCCUGCAUAUUAUUGUUUUUUAGGGCCUCACCUAUGGCAUAUUGAGGUUCCCAGGUUAGGGGUCAAAUCAGAGCUGCAGCCCCUGGCCUACACCACAGCCACGGAAACACCAGAUCCUUAACCCACUGAACAAAGCCAGGAAUUGAACCUGCAUCCUUAUGGUUUCUACUUGGGUUCCUUAACCUCUGAGCCACGAAGGGAGCUCCCCCUCCAGCACUUUAACUGUUGCCUUCUGGCCUUCAAAGUUUCUGUUGAGAAACCUACUAGUAAUCUUAUUUGAGAUCCCUUGCACAUGAUGAGUAGCUUUUCUCUUGCCCCUUUCAAGAGUCUCUUUUUGUGUUUGCUUUUUUCAUUGUGCAUCUUGAUGCAUUUGGUUCUUUCAUUGUGUCUUGAUGUGGGUCUCUUUAGAUUUAUCCUACUUGGAAUUUGCUGAGCUGGCCAUUGUUAAUAAGUCUACAAAUAACAAAUGCUGGAGAGGGUGUGGAGAAGAGGGAACCCUCCUACACUGUUGGUGGGAGUGUAAAUUGGUACAGCAACUGUGGAAUACAGUAUGGAGGUUCCUCAGAAGACUAAAUAUAGAACUACCAUAUGAUCCAGCAAUCCCACUCCUGGGCAUAUAUUUGGGCAAAACUGUAAUUCAAAAAGAUACAUGCACUGCUGUGUUCAUUGUAGCACUAUUCAUGUUAGUCAAGACAUGGAAACAACUUAAAUGUCCAUUGACAGAUGAAUGGAUUAAGAAGAUGUGAAUAUAUACAAUGGCAUACUACUCAGCCAUUAAAAAGAAUAAAAUGCCAUUUGCAGCAACAUGGAUGCAACUAGAGAUGAUCAUACUAAGUGAGGUAAGUUAGAGAAGGACAGAUACUCUAUGAUGUCACCUAUAUAUGGAAUCUAAAAUAUGGCACCAAAUUACCUAUCUAUAAAGCAAACAGACUCACAGACAUGAACAGACUUGUGCUUGCUAAAGGGCAGGGGGAAGGAGUAGGAUGUACUGGGAGUUUGGGGUUAGUAGAUGCAAACUAUUACAUUUAGAAUGGAUAGACAAAAAAGUCCUGUAUAGCACAGGGAACCAUAUCCAAUCUCCUGGAAUAAACCAUGAUGGAAAAUAAUUUUUUUUAAUGUAAAUAUAUGUAUGACUGAGUCAUUUUGCUAUACUGGAGAAAUUGGCAGAGUAUUGUAAAUCAACUAUAAUAAGGAAUAAAUGGGCAGAGGACCUAAAUUAACAGGUUUUCCAAUGAAGACACAAAGAUGACCAACAGGCACGUGAAAAGAUGUUCAACAUUACUAAUCAGGGAAAUGCAAAUCGAAAUCACAAUGAGAUAUCACAUCACACCUGUCAGAAGGGCUGUAAUCAAAAAGACAA
rnacentral:lncRNA from 1 species